rnacentral:rRNA from 1 species
UACGAGGGGUGCAAGCGUUGUUCGGAAUAACUGGGCGUAAAGCGCACGUAGGCGGGUUCGUGUGUCGGUUGUGAAAUCCCUGGGCUUAACCCGGGAAUUGCUGCCGAAACUGCGGAUCUUGAGUGCUCGAGGGGGUGGUGGAAUUCCUGGUGUAGAAGUGAAAUUCGUAGAUAUCAGGAGGAACAUCAGAGGCGAAGGCGACUGCCUGGCGAGACACUGACGCUGAGGUGCGAAAGCGUGGGGAUCAAACAGG